rnacentral:rRNA from 1 species
AACGAACGCUGGCGGCAUGCCUAACACAUGCAAGUCGAACGAAACCUUCGGGUCUAGUGGUGCACGGGUGCGUAACGCGUGGGAACCUGCCUUUAAGUUUGGAAUAACGCGCCGAAAGGGGUGCUAAUACCGGAUCAUAUCUUGCGUCCAAAGAGUUAUCGCCUGUGGAUGGUCUUGCGUUGGAUGAGCUAGAGGGUAGGGUAAAGCGCUACCAAGGCGACGAUCCAUAACUGGCCUGCGAGGAGGAUCAGCCACACUGGAACUGAGACAUGGUCGAGACUCGGACGGGAGGCAGCAGUGGGGAAGAUUGGACAAUGGGCGAAAGACUGAUCCAGCCAUGCCGCGUGGGUGAAGAAGGUCUUCGGAUUGUAAAGAACUUUAAGUUGGGAGGAAGGGAAGUAAGUUAAUACCUUGCUGUUUUGACGUUACCAACAGAAUAAGCACCGGCUAACUUCGUG